rnacentral:misc_RNA from 1 species
CAACCCUCAAGCACAGCUUGGUGUUGGGCCCUGCUAGCGAUGGCAGGCCCUAAAACUAGUGGCGGUGCCGCUGAGCCCUAAGCGUAGUAAUUGUCCUCGCUACAGGGCCUCUGCGUGCCCCCGCCAGAACCCCCUAAUUUUCUAU